UACGGAGGAUCCAAGCGUUAUCCGGAUUUAUUGGGUUUAAAGGGUGCGUAGGCGGGAGAUUAAGUCGGUGGUGAAAUUUUGCAGCUCAACUGUAAAAGUGCCAUUGAUACUGGUUUCCUUGAGUGUGGAUGAAGUAGGCGGAAUUUGUGGUGUAGCGGUGAAAUGCAUAGAUAUCACGAGGAACUCCGAUUGCGUAGGCAGCUUACUAAACCAUAACUGACGCUCAUGCACGAAGGCGUGGGGAUCAAACAGGAUUAGAUACCCCGGUA
rnacentral:rRNA from 1 species